UUAAUAAAAUAAAUUUGCCUCAAUUGAGGCAAAAAGCUAUCGCAUUACGCAAACCCGAGGUUCCCUCGAGUUUACGUAAUGCGGCCCCAUGCCUCAUUAUGGUGCAUUAUAAUACAGCAUAAUAAGAUCUCAAAUUUUGCCAAACAUCUCUUUCUCGUGGGUUUGCGUAAUACGGCUCCAUGCCUCAUUAUGAUGCAUUAUAAUGCAGCAUAAUGAGGUCUCAAAUUUUACCAAAUAUCUUUUUGAUAAUAAACUAAUGUGAAUAGUAUUAUAAUAUCAUACAAUUCCAUGCACCAAACACGCCUUAAUAUCUCAAAAAAAAAAAUCUUUUUUCUACAAGUCCAGCUAUGGUUUUAACCAACAAGAAAAAUACAGUGUAAAAACCUAUUUAUCCCGAAUGUUAACUCCAAAUUUGUGCCCCGAAUGUAAAACACACCGUUUUGUUUCAUUUGCUUUUGAGAAUCGCCUGUUUCAUUUGCUUUAACACUUUUCCUUCACACUUUCCCUUUCCUUAGCUUUUUUAUAUUACACACACGUUUCUUCUUUUCUUGCUUUUCUCUCUUACCCUCGCACGUUUUAAAUUAAUGUAGGAACAAAAAAUGCUUACGAAUUUUGUAAUGUAGAGGUUCAAUACUUUCACAAACCAGUUCCAAUUUUACAGUUUCCAAAUGAAAUUUUGCACUUAGGAUUUUUUUGCGCUGCAAUGAAGUCUCUACUCUGCUUAAAUGAAAACAAUAUGGAAGGAAAAAGUAAAUGAAACAAGUGCUGCACAACUGGAGGCAAUAAAUGGAAAAAGCAAACCAAACACAUUGACUGGCAAUCAAAUUACACAAAGCAAAUGAAACACGUGCUUCUCAAAAGCAAAUGAAACCAAACGGUGCGUUUUACAUUCGGGGCGCAAAUUCGAGGUUAACAUUCGGGGUAAAUAGCAGCACUAAAAAAACUAACCCAAUUUUGUUUUUUUUUUAUAAGAGAAUGAUGCUUAAAGAUUAAUUAAUGACAUGUUUUGAUUUGAA
rnacentral:lncRNA from 1 species